UCAAUUAACAAAUAUGGAACGGAGGGAGUAGUUAGUUAGGCAUCACAGUGAAGCUUGGCGAAGGGGCAUUUUUUUAGGCCUACAAGGCUGGAUGCACUGUAUCAAAGUGGUACCAUCCGAUGGGCAUUCAUUUGUCAACUACCACUUUUUUUAGCUGUAUCGCGUGCCAAAAAAUUGAAUUGACAAUGUCUGAACAAAUAUGAAGUAUAAAGUUAUAUCAUUGAAGAGAAUUGUUUUAUUUUCAAAACUAAUGAAGUUGGAUCUGCUUAAAGCACAUAUUCACGAGUUAACUUCACUUUUUAGGGUAAUUGUAAUUUAAAUAUCCACAAGAGGACAAAAACACUACUCUUCUGGAGAUCAUCUAAAUAAGAUGGAAGGGCUCCACACUUCCCGUGCCAUUUUAUGUAUUUUAGAAUUUACUUCAGAGAGACUUCAUCAGUUUGUGCUCUAAAUUUUACUUUAGAGAGUGUCUUUGGACUGAGGCCACUUCAGCACAAUUGAUGGCUGCUUUUCCUCCCCUGUGGACAUGUACCUCCUUUAUCUAGAUGUGAAUAUAUCAAUAAAACAAGGAAUUUUUAAUAUUACUGUCUGACGGAGUUCACAGAUUAUUGAAGAUUUUUGCAGCUAUGGAGAUCUGACCAAACAGUCUUCUAUCCUACCUCUGAAUUGAAGAUGUAUUGGGUCUGUAUAUGAAGUGUAAAUAUUCAGAUAUAUAAAUCCGUUGAUUCAUGAAUUAAAUGGCCAGAGAUCGGUGCAGUCAAGUGGAUUGAUACCUGGACUUUAGAGCUCAAAAUCCUUCUAACUUCUCUACUGGCUGUAUUUUGUUGACAGCUUUGAGAGAAGAACAAGUACUGUUAGUCAUUCCAUGACAUGUAUAAUUUAAAUACUAGAGAAGUGAAUUGAUAGUUCAUUUAGUAGAGUAUUAGUAGAUGAUGGUGUAUAUCCUGAUAUGUUUAGUCCGUUCCCAAAAUAAUUUGUGAAGUAGCCUUAAUAAUUAUAAACCUUCUCUGUAUAUUAGUACUCAGUUUUUUGGGGAGCUGGAAGAAGCCAGCUUACCAUAACAUGUGAAAAUGAAUUUAUUUA